CCUUUCGGGGAUGAGUAAAGUGGCGCACGGGUGAGUAAUGGAUAGGAACGUACCGAUUAGUGGGGAAUAGCUAUUGGAAACGAUGGGUAAUACCGCAUGUGAUCCUUCGGGAUGAAAGUUUGACUGCUUGCAGUUAGGCGCUAAUUGAUCGGCCUAUCUCCCAUUAGCUUGUUGGUAGGGUAACGGCCUACCAAGGCAACGAUGGGUAGCUGGUCUGAGAGGAUGAUCAGCCACACUGGAACUGAGACACGGUCCAGACUCC
rnacentral:rRNA from 1 species